UACGGAGGGUGCAAGCGUUAUCCGGAUUCACUGGGUUUAAAGGGUGCGUAGGUGGGAAUGUAAGUCAGUGGUGAAAUCUCCGUGCUUAACAUGGAACUGCCAUUGAUACUAUGUUUCUUGAAUUUUCUGGAGGUUCAGCGGAAUAUGUCAUGUAGCGGUGAAAUGCAUAGAUAAUGACCCGGAACACCGAUUGCCGAAACGGCAGCCCACUUAAGCAAGCGAUUCGACGCUGAGGCAACGAAAGCGUGGGGAUCAAACAGGA
rnacentral:rRNA from 1 species